UACAUGUGGGGCAAGCGUUGUUCGGAAUUACUGGGCGUAAAGGGCUCGUAGGUGGCCAACUAAGUCAGACGUGAAAUCCCUCGGCUUAACCGGGGAACUGCGUCUGAUACUGGAUGGCUUGAGUUUGGGAGAGGGACGCGGAAUUCCAGGUGUAGCGGUGAAAUGCGUAGAUAUCUGGAGGAACACCGGUGGCGAAGGCGGCGUCCUGGACCAACACUGACACUGAUGAGCGAAAGCCAGGGGAGCAAACGGG
rnacentral:rRNA from 1 species